rnacentral:rRNA from 1 species
AUUGGACGCUGGCGGCAUGCCUAACACAUGCAAGUCGAACGGCAGCAUGGUCUGGUUUACCAGACUGAUGGCGAGUGGCGAACGGGUGAGUAACGCGUAGGAAUAUGCCUUAAAGAGGGGGACAACUUGGGGAAACUCAAGCUAAUACCGCAUACACUCUGAGGAGAAAAGCUAGGGACCUAUUGGCCUGGCGCUUUAAGAAUAGCCUGCGUCCGAUUAGCUAGUUGGUGAGGUAAAGGCUUACCAAGGCGACGAUCGGUAGCUGGUCUGAGAGGACGGACAGCCACACUGGAACUGAGACACGGUCCAG